rnacentral:rRNA from 1 species
CCCUUAGUAACUGCGAGUGAAGAGGGAAGAGCUCAAAUUUUAAAUCUGGCAGUGUUUCACUGUCCGAGUUGUAAAUUCAAGAAGUGUUAUCCAUAUACUGGACCAUGCACAAGUCUCUUGGAAAAGAGCAUCAUAGAGGGUGACAAUCCCGUCUCUGGCUUGGACUCCCAGCAUUUUUGUGAUACACUCUCAAUGAGUCGAGUUGUUUGGGAAUGCAGCUCUAAAUGGGUGGUAAAUUCCAUCUAAAGCUAAAUAUUGGCGAGAGACCGAUAGCGAACAAGUACCGUGAGGGAAAGAUGAAAAGGACUUUGAAAAGAGAGUUAAACAGUACGUGAAAUUGUUGAAAGGGAAACGCUUGAAGUCAGUCAUGUUCAAUUGAAAUCAACCAGACUUUGCCUGGUGCACUUUCUCUUGGACAGGCCAGCAUCAGUUUUGACCGCUGCAGAAAGGCUUUGGAAAUGUAGUGCCUUUUUGGUGUGUUAUAGUCCUUAGUUGUAUACAGUGGUUGGGAUUGAGGAACUCAGUGUGACCUUUGUGUUUGGAGAAUUCCUCACAACACACACUUAGGAUGCUGGCAUAAUGGCUUUAAUCGACCCGUCUUGAAACACGGACCAAGGAGUCUAACAUACAUGCAAGUGUUUGGGUGGAAAACUCAAGCGCGCAAUGAAAGUGAAAGUUGAGAACCCUGUCGGGGGUGCACCAACGCCCGGUCCAGAGCUUCUGUGACGGAUCUGCGGUAGAGCAUGUAUGUUGGGACCCGAAAGAUGGUGAACUAUGCCUGAAUAGGGUGAAGCCAGAGGAAACUCUGGUGGAAGCUCGUAGCGAUUCUGACGUGCAAAUCGAUCGUCGAAUUUGGGUAUA